CCACUUGUUUCUUUCGCCCUGUGAAGGAAGAAAUUGCCCACGUUCACGUCUUCAUUCAAAAGGGUGACAGUGUGAGCUUUGAGGGCCGGAAGAAGGUGCUGAUGAGAUAUGCACAUCCAAAGGUUUUUAUAAAACCAAGCAAGCCCUUUUAUAAACCUGGAGAAACAGCUAAGUUUCGCAUAGUGAGGCUUAAUGGAGAAUUUAAAGCUGUUGGCGAAACAAUCCCAGAGAUACUGCUGAUAGUAAGUAAUUUAGAAUGAU